rnacentral:rRNA from 1 species
UUUUUCGCAAUGGGGGAAACCCUGACGAAGCAACGCCGCGUGGAGGAUGAAGGCCUUCGUGUCGUAAACUCCUGUCGACCGGGACGAAAGCUAUCCGACCCAAUACGUCGGGUAGUCGACUGUACCGGUGGAGGAAGCCACGGCUAACUCUGUGCCAGCAGCCGCGGUAAUACAGAGGUGGCAAGCGUUGUUCGGAAUUACUGGGCGUAAAGGGCGCGUAGGCGGUCUUUUAAGUUCCGUGUGAACUCCCUCGGCUCAACUGGGGAACGGCACGGGAAACUGGGAGGAUUGGGUUCGGGAGAGGGAAGCGGAAUUCCGGGUGUAGCGGUGAAAUGCGUAGAUAUCCGGAGGAACACCGGUGGCGAAGGCGGCUUCCUGGACCGACACUGACGCUGAGGCGCGAAAGCUAGGGGAGCAAAC